CUUUGGUCGCACGAUCGGUUUAUCUCUUUUAGCCAGAUAGUAAUUCGCAGUCCUUUCUCUGUGUCUAUGGGUAUGUUCACAGAUUAUUUUCUAUCCAUUUUCUAUCAAAGACAUACCCUUUGUAUAUCUAUUAUCUAUGCACACCAACACACUGUCACAUUCUAUUUCGAAGUACCAUACAUUUUUAAUUAUCUGCAAUUAAUCAAAUAAACAAAAUCCAAUUAUGGACUUGGAAGAUGAUCUUUGUGAGGAUUUUCAGGUAACUUUGCAGUUAACUGAAGAAGAUAGAAACAUUCAAAAGGGAAAUGAACACCAAAAAGCAAAUAUAUUUUUAAUAGACUCAAAUGAAGAAAAGGUUCAAGGAAAUGACACACCUGCAAUCACUUCAUUUAGUAAAGAGU